AUAUUACAAGGCCAUUACCUGAACGGACACAAAGGUCACUGCAAUGUGGCUUACAGUAAAUGGGGAACUUCCUUGUCACCUGGCUGGCAGCUCUAAAAGAUAGUACCUCAGCCAAUUCUAGAGCAUCAUACUGUGAGUGUACUAGAAGCACUUUCUAAAUCUGGAACAGAACAAAGUAUUCCAACAACGAUGGAAACUGCAGUAGCCAUCUCUCUCACUCUGUUCAUACUCUCAGGUAUCUGUGCUGGUCAGGGUCUGUUUCCACAAGGUUCUGUGAAUGGAGCAGAAGGAGGGACAGCGAUGUUCAUCACAAAUCUAAUCCCACCAGCCCAGCCGUUCAUAACAAUAUCCUGGAGUGUUGGUGGAGCCAACAUUAUAACCUCUACCGGUGAUGACUCUAUAGGGCCUGGAUACGGAGACAGGAUCACUCUGAACAAAACUACUGGAUCUCUGGAGCUCAGGAAUCUGACCCUGGCUGACAGUGGAGGAUACAGAGUGGCUAUAACAACAGCUACAGCAGAAACAAUCAAUGGAUCAACUGAACUGGUUGUGUAUGAGAUAUAUCUGAUGCCAACAUCACAGGACCAUCAAACCAUCUGUUUGCAGAUUGGAGCUCCGCCAACUUAACCUGUGAGGCUGCUGGUAACAUCACUACUAUACAAUGGACGAAGGAAGGUCAGCCUCUGUCUGCUGGUGGCAAUAUAUUAUUCUCAGAGGAAAACAGGAAAGUAUCCAUCAGUCCUGUGAAGAGACAGGACAGCGGAGAAUAUGUGUAAACUCACCAACCCUGCCACCUCUGCUACUGCCUCCUAUAACGUGAUAGUGAACUAUGGACCAGAUUCCAUGACCAUCCUGGGCCGACACAUCGCUGAGGUGGAGUCAUUCACCCUUAUUUACUGCUCUGUUCAGUCUGUACCGCCUGCUACGUUCACCUGGUUGUUCAAUGGGCAGCAGACAGGUGUACAUGAAGCUGGAUACAUCAUAAGGAGCGUCAGCUACAACAACAGUGGGGACUACAGAUGUGAUGCUCGGAAUGAUCUCACCGGAAAUGUUAUCAGUGUGGACCAUAGUCUGUCAGUGAGAGAUAAAACCCCUCCACCCCUAAGCCCAGAGGGAGCAGCAGGUAUAGCAGUCGCUGUGAUGUUGGUAGUGGUUGCUGUAGCUCUUGGUCUCUAUUUCGGCAUAACUCCUCAUCGGAACAAGAAAGGGAACAAUGAAGAGAAAGAUACAGACGCACUGAGCAGAUCAUCCCAGACAAAGGAUAUGUCCAUGUCCAGCACUGACAAAGUACAUGAGGGGCACGAACUUACUUCCCAAAUCCAGGACAGAACCCAUCAUCGCAAGCAACCACAAUCAGGCACCAGCCAUACAAUAGCCACCAGCCAUUCACCAGGAACUAAAGCUUCUGCAGGUGUACACGAGUAUGAGUGUAUAAUAAUUAAGAAAACUGGAGCUCCAACACCACCUUCAAGAGGAAAGCUUCCUACGAGACAAACCAACACUGACACUGUAAGUAGUACUGCUCCUCUGGCACCUUGCUGGCACCUUACUGCAUUGAAGCAUUUUGUUAUAGCUGUAAUGAAAAGGAGCACUCUCCAAUACACAAUCUUUGAUGUACCACAUCAUCCCUAAAUAACCUACCUAGGUAUAGGUAUAGAUGAUUUACACAAACGUACUCAGUGUGUCUUGUUCUGUCUUUACUAAACCCGGGAAAUCCAGGGCUCCACCAAGUAAAGCAAAAGUAUAAAUUGAGAGCAGCUGAUCUCAACUACAUAUCUUCAGUUGGCUCUGGACUUCACCCAUCAGGUUUUACACCUUAAUCAAGUAAACAUGGACACAACAAACGACUGGAUGACCAGCCAAGAAGACUAGACACUACUGUACUCCACCUCCGAUGAGACACUGGUCUUUGUCUAAUUGCUCAAUGUAAUAUAGACCAGGUAACAGCACACUGAGACACAAGGACAAAUUGUAUCCCCUUAAAUUACACACACCAGUUGAAGUCCUACUCAUUUCAAUUGACUUUCCCUGGUCAAACUGCCAUCCCUCAGACCAUAAUGACCUGUGUUACAUUAAAUACCAUCAGGGGAGUUUUCAUAGAAACUUCCUACACUGAACCACAUUACACAUGUAACAGAUGUAACAUCAGGUUUUUUCCUCUGAAAGGAGGAAGUUUGAGUGCUCCUGCUAUGCUUGCUAGUGCACUAUAUAGGAUGCAGAAGAUUCACUGAAAUUCCAAUAAAAUAAUGGAAUUAAUGUUUUAUUCAUCUCAUGCACUGAACGAUGCAACAUGUAUGGAUUUUGUUAAUGACUCUGGAAUUGGGUGUAAUACAAAUAAUCUUGACCCUCACACUUUAUUUAGAAUAAUAUUAUACACAUAUUAUACACAUCUCAUGCACUGUGAGUGUUAAAUGAGUAGAGUUGGAGUGGAUGAA